UGUCUUAAGUCUUUAUUACAUCGCAAUUCAUCUUCACAACAAGCAGUUGUACAUACAGAUGUCUCGAGAUUACAUCGCUGCCCAACAGGAGGA